rnacentral:lncRNA from 1 species
CUGAUAAUAGAAAUUUUAAAAAAGAUAAUGAUUUGAAAUUCAUAUAUGUUCUGAUUCUGUCCUAACUCAAUGGAGCAUCCAAAGAUUUUCUCGUUGAUUUGAUUUAUAAGGAUUUUGAUUUGAAAUUUAUCGAAUUGAAUUGAUAUGAGAAUUAAGAUUUGGUUCAUAUUGAUUAUAGUAGACCUAUAUAAUGAUUUUGAAUGUGAUAUUGGACUCAAGGAUUAAUCAAGAUUAUUGUAUAUCAGCAAAAGUAGAAAUGAG